rnacentral:rRNA from 1 species
GACGAACGCUGGCGGCGUGCCUAAUACAUGCAAGUCGAACGAGAGCGACCGGUGCUUGCACUGGUCAAUCUAGUGGCGAACGGGUGAGUAACACGUGGGUAACCUGCCCAUCAGAGGGGGAUAACAUCCGGAAACGGAUGCUAAAACCGCAUAGGUCUUCGAGCCGCAUGGCUUGAAGAGGAAAAGAGGCGCAAGCUUCUGCUGAUGGAUGGACCCGCGGUGCAUUAGCUAGUUGGUGAGGUAACGGCUCACCAAGGCCGUGAUGCAUAGCCGACCUGAGAGGGUGAUCGGCCACAUUGGGACUGAGACACGGCCCAAACUCCUACGGGAGGCAGCAGUAGGGAAUCUUCCGCAACGGACGCAAGUCUGACGGAGCAACGCCGCGUGAGUGAAGAAGGUUUUCGGAUCGUAAAACUCUGUUGUUAGAGAAGAACAAGUGCUAGAGUAACUGUUAGCGCCUUGACGGUAUCUAACCAGAAAGCCACGGCUAACUACGUG